UGGGUAGUUGGCCGAGUGGCUGAAGGCGCACGCCUGGAACGCGUGUAAACGGUAACCCCGUUUCAACGGUUCAAAUCCGUUACUACCCGU
rnacentral:tRNA from 1 species